GACGAACGCUGGCUGCGUGCUUAACACAUGCAAGUCGAACGCUGAAGCCUGGUGCUUGCACCGGGUGGAUGAGUGGCGAACGGGUGAGUAACACGUGAGUAACCUGCCCCUGACUUCGGGAUAAGCCCGGGAAACUGGGUCUAAUACCGGAUACGACCGUCGGACGCAUGUCUGGUGGUGGAAAGUUUUUUCGGUUGGGGAUGGGCUCGCGGCCUAUCAGUUUGUUGGUGAGGUAAUGGCUCACCAAGACGACGACGGGUAGCCGGCCUGAGAGGGCGACCGGCCACACUGGGACUGAGACACGGCCCAGACUCCUACGGGAGGCAGCAGUGGGGAAUAUUGCACAAUGGGGGAAACCCUGAUGCAGCGACGCAGCGUGCGGGAUGACGGGCCUUUCGGGUUGUAAAACCCGCUUUUCAAGCAAGGGAAAGA
rnacentral:rRNA from 1 species